GUUACAAUAGUUUAAUAGAGGAAGCAGCCUCUUGGUCAACCUUAUCCUAGAAGUAGAAAAAGAAAUAAAUAAUUCCUAUUAUGUUAGGACUCAGAAUACAAAUGUUGACAAUGAGUCAUCAUUAGCUAAUGAUCACCAUGUGGGGCCUAGGAAUUGGUUAGUUUAUUCUAGAAGAAGGACAGCUGGCAGGAAGAGUUAGUUGUGACGUAGAGCAAGAGAGAGAAGGGUGAUAGCUAGUAGUAACUUCCUUUCCACAAUAUAAGGAGUCAGAUAUGAUUGGAGAAGCAUCUUAUCAUUUUACUAAGUUUGUUAGAAUGCAGGUCCAAGUCUAACUUGGCCUUACUGAGCGUUGCUCUGGUUAGUUACAGUGUUAGGAUCCCAUUUCUCCUAAUCUCAUCUGUAAUUCUUCAUCAUUAUUAUCAAUAAAGCUAUAUUUGCCCUGUUUUUCACUAUAUUUCCAUUGAUACCUGUUCUGG
rnacentral:lncRNA from 1 species